rnacentral:rRNA from 1 species
AUUGAACGCUGGCGGCAGGCCUAACACAUGCAAGUCGAGCGAGCGGCGGACGGGUGAGUAAUGUCUGGGAAACUGCCUGUUGGAGGGGGAUUACUACUGGAAACGGUAGCUAAUACCGCAUACUAUUAGAUGUGCCCAUAUGGGAUUAGCUAGUAGGUGGGGUAACGGCUCACCUAGGCGACGAUCCCUAGCUGGUCUGAGAGGAUGAUCAGCCAAACUGGAACGUAGACACGGUCCAGACUCCUACGGGAGGAAGCAGUGGGGAAUAUUGCACAAUGGGCGAAAGCCUGAUGCAGCCAUGCCGCGUGUAUGAAGAAGGCCUUCGGGUUGUAAAGUACUUUCAGCAGGGAGGCGUUACCUGCAGAAGAAGCACCGGCUAACUCCGUGCCAGCAGCCGCGGUAAUAC